UGAUCUGGCAGAGGCAGAAGAGGUGAAGCUGCAAGCAUCGGUUCCCUCCUGCUGACAGGUCCCUGGGCACCCCAUGAAGGGAGAGCGUGACAUGGUCCUGCUUUUCCUGGCAGCACUGGUGGGACUGGCAGACUUUGGUCACGCCCAAAAGGACUCUGUGCUCCAGUUUCCAGCAGAAAUGACCGUCCAGGCAGGGGAGAGCACAGCUCUGCACUGCAAUUUCUCCACCAGCUAUGCCGAUCCCUACAUCUACUGGUACCAGCAGCGCCAGUCCCAGUCCCCUCAGAUGCUGCUGUGGCUGAGCAAGUACAGAGCUCGUGUAGAUUCAGGGAGAUUCUCCUCUGCACUGACUGUGGAGACCUCCCAGGUGCUUCUGAAUGUGCGGGAUGCCGAGCUCCAGGACAGCGCUACCUAUUUCUGUGCACUGAGCCCACACUGGUGCCCACAGCUUCCAGCACUGCACAGAAACGUGGGGGGUGCUCUGAGGAGCAGUUCCCUCCCUGCCACUGCUUGCAUGUAG